rnacentral:rRNA from 1 species
AAUCAACGCUGGCGGCGUGCCUAACACAUGCAAGUCGAACGAGAAAGGGGACUUCGGUCCCUGAGUAAAGUGGCGCACGGGUGAGUAACACGUGACUUAUCUACCCUCGAGUGGGGAAUAACUUCGGGAAACCGAGGCUAAUACCGCAUAAUACCCACGGGUCAAAGGAGCAAUUCGCUUGAGGAGGAGGUCGCGGCCCGAUUAGUUAGUUGGCGGGGUAAUGGCCCCCACCAAGACGGUGAUCGGUAUCCGGCCUGAGAGGGCGCACGGACACACUGGAACUGAAACACGGUCCAGACUCCUACGGGAGGCAGCAGUGGGGAAUUUUGCGCAAUGGGGGAAACCCUGACGCAGCAACGCCGCGUGGAGGAUGAAGUCUCUUGGGACGUAAACUCCUUUCGAUCGGGACGAUUAUGACGGUACCGGAAGAAGAAGCCCCGGCUAACUCGUG